rnacentral:rRNA from 1 species
UACGUAGGGGGCAAGCGUUGUCCGGAAUCAUUGGGCGUAAAGCGCGCGUAGGCGGCCCGGUAAGUCCGCUCUGAAAGUCCAGGGCUCAACCCUGGAAAGCGGGUGGAUACUGCCGGGCUAGAAUCCGGAAGAGGCGAGUGGAAUUCCUGGUGUAGCGGUGGAAUGCGCAGAUAUCAGGAGGAACACCACUAGCGAAGGCAGCUCACUACGCGAAUAUUGACACUGAGGCACGAAAGCGUGGGGAUCAAACAGG